rnacentral:tRNA from 1 species
UAGGAAGUGGUGUAGCGGAGGCACCAAGAGUUUUGAUCUCUUAAGGAGGGGUUCGAAUCCCCUCUUUCUAA